GACGAACGCUGGCGGCGUGCUUAACACAUGCAAGUCGUACGGUAAGGCCCUUUCGGGGGUACACGAGUGGCGAACGGGUGAGUAACACGUGAGUAACCUGCCCACAACUUUGGGAUAACGCUAGGAAACUGGUGCUAAUACUGGAUAUGUGCUCCUGCUGCAUGGUGGGGGUUGGAAAGCUCCUGCGGUUGUGGAUGGACUCGCGGCCUAUCAGCUUGUUGGUGGGGUAGUGGCCUACCAAGGCGGCGACGGGUAGCCGGCCUGAGAGGGUGACCGGCCACAUUGGGACUGAGAUACGGCCCAGACUCCUACGGGAGGCAGCAGUGGGGAAUAUUGCACAAUGGGCGCAAGCCUGAUGCAGCAACGCCGCGUGCGGGAUGACGGCCUUCGGGUUGUAAACCGCUUUCAGCAGGGACGAAGCUUUUUGUGACGGUACCUGCAGAAGAAGCACCGGCUAACUACGUG
rnacentral:rRNA from 1 species